AGGGAGAAAAUGGAAGAGUCAAGGGGCUGGGAUUUUUUUUUUUUUCCCAGCCCCUUGACUCUUCCAUUUUCUCCCU
rnacentral:miRNA from 1 species